rnacentral:rRNA from 1 species
UACGAAGGGGGCUAGCGUUGCUCGGAAUCACUGGGCGUAAAGGGUGCGUAGGCGGGUCUUUAAGUCAGGGGUGAAAUCCUGGAGCUCAACUCCAGAACUGCCUUUGAUACUGAAGAUCUUGAGUCCGGGAGAGGUGAGUGGAACUGCGGAGUGUAGAGGUGAAAUUCGUAGAUAUUCGCAAGAACACCAGUGGCGAAGGCGGCUCACUGGCCCGGAUCGUACGCUGAGGCACGAAAGCGUGGGGAGCAAACAGGAUUAGAAUCGACUGACGUCC